UGGCGGGCGCCCCUCCCCCAGCCUCGCUGCCGCCUUACAGUUUGAUCUCAGACUGCUGUGCUAGCAAUCAGUGAGACUCCCUAGGCGUAGGACCCUCCGAGCCAGGUGCGAGAUAUAAUCUCGUGGUGGUGCGCCGUUUUUUAAGCCAGUCGGAAAAGCGCAGUAUUCGGAUGGGAGUGACCCGAUUUUCCAGGUGCCGUCUGUCACCCCUUUCUUUGACUCGGAAAGGGAACUCCCUGACUCCUUGCGAGACGUGGAAGCUCUUUUUAAUGUCUGAGCCAAGAAUCAGACAUGAUAAAGAAGUGGAGGAUACAAACAAAUAAAAGAACAUUCCACGCUCAUGGGUAGGAAGAAUCAAUAUAGUGAAAAUGGCAAUACUGCCCAAGGUAAUUUAUAGAUUCAAUGCCAUCCCCAUCAGGCUAUCAGUGACUUUCUUCACAGAAUUGGAAAAAACUACUUUAAAGUUCAUAUGGAACCAAAAAAGAGCCCACAUUGCCAAGUCAAUCCUAAGCCAAAAGAACAAAGCUGGAGGCAUCAUGCUACCUGACUUCAAACUAUACUACAAGGCUACAGUAACCAAAACAGCGAUAUACACGGAUGGAACAGAACAGGGCCCUCAGAAAUGAUGCCACAUAUCUACAACCAUCUGAUCCUUGACAAACCUGACAAAUACAAGAA
rnacentral:lncRNA from 10 species